UUCUCUAAUGAUACCCUUUGUUUCAGAGCUGGGCUGACUCAUUUCAAACAGGUGUGAUGUGAAGAAAAACAUUCAUGUUUUGAUUUGGCUUUGGUUCAGGGAAGUACUGCCUAGAUAAAUUGUCAAAAUGUAACCAGACCAGCAACUCUGAGUGGUUUUUGUCUUGAAGAGUCAUUGGACAGCAUGCUUUCUUCCUGAAAUAGUACUUCAUUCCUAAAUGGAAUGCAUACAUCUUGUGGACACAUUUAAUGGUACUAAUGUGAAUAUGUAUGAUGUUUCAGUCUCUGCCAUCUAUUUCACCUGCUGAGUGUUCAUCUCAAAUUCGGCAUAAUGCUUUUGUCCAGCUUUUUUGUCCAGAUCAGCAACACAGAUUGCUUCAAGAAGUUAACUGAUUUUAUGAGAAGAUGUAACUGAACAAUCCUAUAAAAGUGGAGAGAAUAUUCAUCUUUUCGGAGAACUGUACAGCCAUCAUCCAUAUGUCUUCAGGAUAACUUCUGGCUAUAAAAAUGUUUGUCAGUUUAGAUUAUCUACACAUGAGGCUUGUGUUAGUUGUUUUUUGUGCUAUAUAAUUUAAUUCAAAUUGAUCCUGGUGGAAAUAUUGGCAUCAAAAAUCCCAGUUUUUUGAGAAAUCAUUAUUCUUGGUUACUCUGGUACUAAGCAUACAAAUUUUUACUUUAAAAAUAGAAUUUUAAAAGCUGUUCUUACUAAAAUACUGCUGAUGCUCACAAUAAAGUUUUGCAUGCAGAAUACUGACUCA
rnacentral:lncRNA from 1 species